GAGGGCGGGGCCUCAGCGAGCUAGACUGGGGCGCCCGGGACCGGUCGUUCAGCCUAUGGCGCUUUCAGACCCUGGUCCUCUGCCGCUGUGAUUUUCCUCUUGGGGCUCCAGGACUGGCCUUCCUCUCCAGCCUCUGCUCACGUUUCCGUGGCGACGUCUCGCUAGCUUGGACCGUGGCCGAGCUGGGUUGUCUACUGAGUGCUAGAUGCUACUCUGUUCCAUUGUGCCUACGCUCCGGCCUUUUAUUAAAAAAUCAAGGAGAUGCACGGACCAGUCAGAAAAUACUCAAGCACCACGGAGGGAUGUAGCCCCUCCACAUAGGGACUUAGCUAACCCUCCCUGCGUGAUUAAACAGUGAGGUUUUGAAAUAAACAAAAACAGACAAACAAAACAGACCUUAGAAAUAUUGUCAAAGGGGGAACUGAAUGUUUGAAACCUAAAUGCCUGUUUUUCAAACUAUUUGAUACUCAUCACGGUGGCUGUGUUUUAGACACGCCCUUAAUGGAGUAGGAAAAAUCUAAGCUUCACUGAACGGUUGAGAAGGCUGAUUGCCACAUAAUGGAAGGUCACCAGUCCCUUACCUCACAAUGCACCAUUUGGACUGUCAUAAACAUGUUCUAUUGCCUAACCAACAAAGGGGAGCCACUUGCUGCUCUUCACGUCCUGGCUCUGAUCUGUAUGCAUCUUUCUAAGGCAUAAGACAAGCAGGAAACUACUUUCCAGACUCUUGGAUUGAGCAACAUGGAUCAGCAGAUGCAUUCUACCUCACACUGUUUUGAGGAACUUGGGCCUGAAAGCCAACCCCACCAUCUCAUUUCCCGCAGCCCAGUACGGAAGGAAUUGUCCUUGUCCUGGUCAAAAACAGGUGACUGCGAUGCCCAGCCAACCGGAAGGAAGCAAAGAGAAGGGGCGCAGAACUCUCUUGCUUUGAAGGCUAUGAUCCAGGGUUUUAUUCCUCAUUUCUGACAGCACCCUGUCAUGCGAGUGUGACACCUAACUGGGAGAAGAACUAGAAAUGUCGUCUUCAGCUGGCCAAUAAUUUGUAUGGCUAAUUUCUACUACUGUUGAAAAGUGAGAGGGUGGGCGUUGGGGAGCCAUCUGCCCACUUCAACCACAGGCUUGUGUUCUGAAUUUUUUAUACACUUUUUAAAAAAGAAAAUAUUUUAUUAA